UGGGGAAUAUUGCACAAUGGGGGAAACCCUGAUGCAGCGACGCCGCGUGAGCGAAGAAGUAUUUCGGUAUGUAAAGCUCUAUCAGCAGGGAAGAUAAUGACGGUACCUGACUAAGAAGCCCCGGCUAACUACGUGCCAGCAGUCGCGGUAAUCUCACUGU
rnacentral:rRNA from 1 species